rnacentral:lncRNA from 1 species
GAAAUUUCCUGAAGGAAAAUAUUUGGUGAUGCGAAACGCAAAGAUUCAUCAUCUCAACGGCAUGCAUCAGAACAGUUAAGACUUGAUGUUUAAGCUGGGGAGAAAGAAUCAAAUAAAUGGUCUCAUUCAUUGCAAGAACAAGAGAGUAAGUACAUGAUCACCAACACAAAGAAUGGCACGCCGGCGCACGUACUGGACACACCUCCCACACCACCGCGACCCAUACAUACACACACGCACGCGCCCACACCUCACGCCCCAACACGAACACACGCACACACACCAAGACGACGAGUAAACCAAGCCGGACAGACGAAGAAGGGUCAUCUCAUCUCAUCACACGCCACCGCGACGGAUCUAGCAGAAGAGGUAACCGAAGGCGGCGGCGGCGAAGGAGGCCGCUGCGAGGGGCACGGCGGCCGCGGCGUCGGAGGCGGGCGCCGGGGCCGGGGCCUCGGCGGCGGCCGCGGAGGCGACGAGCGCGGCGGCCAUGGCGGCGACGGCGACGAACUUCAUCCUGAGACCGGCCAUUGGCGACUUGACUUGGUUCCUGGUGGUGCUGGGAGGAGGGCCGGAGGGGUUCUUGCUGCUGCUUAUUCGGCUGUGAGAUCUCUCUAGGGGGAAGCUAGAGAGAUGCUGCACGCGGAUGAGCAAGAGGCUUGAGAGUGGCGGCNNNNNNNNNNNNNNNNNNNNNNNNNNNNNNNNNNNNNNNNNNNNNNNNNNNNNNNNNNNNNNNNNNNNNNNNNNNNNNNNNNNNNNNNNNNNNNNNNNNNNNNNNNNNNNNNNNNNNNNNNNNNNNNNNNNNNNNNNNNNNNNNNNNNNNNNNNNNNNNNNNNNNNNNNNNNNNNNNNNNNNNNNNNNNNNNNNNNNNNNNNNNNNNNNNNNNNNNNNNNNNNNNNNNNNNNNNNNNNNNNNNNNNNNNNNNNNNNNNNNNNNNNNNNNNNNNNNNAGAGUGGCGGCUUGGGAGGUGGGAGGGAGAGGCGAGCGGGGGUGGCGGCUUGGGAGGUGGGAGGGAGAGGCGAGCGGGGGUGGCGGCUUAUAUAGCGGCGGAGCGGGGAGGGGAGGGGAAGGAUGGCCAGGUCGGUCGCGUAGGGUUGCGGGAGAAGGGAGAGGAGUACGGCUGGCCGUCUGUUGGGUUGGGCUCCGGGCGUGCCGCGUUUGGUGGCCGGUUGGGCUGGCGUUCGUUACCGUUGCGGCCGGGAUCCUCUCUGACCGCGCCCGUUGGAGCGCGUCUCCGGGUGUGUGUGUGUGUGUGUGUGUGUGUGGUGGCUCGGCAUUCAUCAACGUGCGCGCCGCGCUUCCAGGUUUCUUCCUCGAAUUGGAUGCGUGCUCUUAGAUGACUUGAGCUGGAAAAUUCCACUUACUCCAUGAUAAGUAUCUGUAUGGUUAGCACGUCCAUUUCCAAUAACAUCAGCGACUUGGAGGCCGUGGAGCACCAACGAACACGCACUUCACAUUUGCAUAAAACUUUUUUUUGACGUGCCAGUAACAAGAAGAGUACCAGUUAUAAACACGGGAAGCCUUAGAGGCGAAGGCUUUGGUUGUGUACGCCUUAUCAAAUGGCUUUUGCGGCGUGCACAUUCUGUCUAUCUAUUGAGUAGAAUACGGACCGGUCCAAGUAUUAUUAUCUCUCAAAUUAGGUUUUCGCCUAACAUAUUUACAUGAGUUUUAUAUGGUUUAGUGCAUUUUUAAAUAUUUUUAUGGACUAAAAGCAUGUCCAGCCGAGCCCCAAACACGGCCCCCCAAGUGAUUUCUUCACGCCGGCGCCGAAAAAACGGCCCAGUCGCGCCCCCACGAGCUCGUUUUUCGUCGGUUUGGCCGAAAUUAGCGCGUUGGGAGCACCUGGCGGCGCUGGGGGACGCGAUUUUGGCGCGAACGGGGAUGGGCCCGAAGAGUCAGCGAGACGCCGCUUCGUCGCCCUCAUCGCCUCGGUUACCGCGGGAAUCAAUGCCAAGGCUGCCGCGCCGGUCAGCCUCCAUUGAUGCUCCAUUGAUGCCUCACGGGCGGCGAAGUGAAGGCGCCGGCGACGCGCGUCCCGCCCGCUCCCGCCACGUGUCUCCCGGCAUGCAGCCUCUCGUCGCCCCGCUGGGGCUAUAAAAGGCGACCCCUGCCUGCCAGUGAACGCCACAACCUCCCCUGCAUCCACCUCGCAAAAGCAUCCCUAUCCCCCCCUUCCCGCCGCCGAGCAAAGAUAGCCGAGAGGUUUCCAGGCGACGGCGCGACGGCGAACGGUUUCGGCCGCCGCCAACUCCAAGAGCCGGAGGCGCGCCUCCUCUACGAGGUCGAGUACCCGGCGCCCCCAGACAUGCGCGUGCCGGGGGCGUGGAGUGAGCACCGGCGGCGUCCCGGUGCCCGAAGGGGCGGCGCGGCGGGCAGAGAUCGCCCGCAUCCGCUCGUCCCUGACGGAGGAACAGCGAAACGAGCCGAGGUACGCUCCCGACAGCGAAAUGUUGUGGACAAUGUACUUCGAGCAUCGCCGCGAAGAGCAAAUCGCCUCCGUCAACGACGUCAUUCCCCGCGGCCGCCUCAAUGCCGAAGGACGGCGCGAGUGGUGGGUGAUACGUCUCCAACGUAUCUACUUUUCCAAACACUUUCGCCCUUGUUUUGGACUCUAACUUGCAUGAUUUGAAUGAAACCAACCCGGACUGACGUUGUUUUCAGCAGAACUGCCAUGGUGCUCCCCCAGGGCUGUUGCUAGUUGGAGGCACUCGGUGUUUCGAGCAAGCCAUGGAUUGAUGCUUGUUGGUGGUGGGGGUGUAUAAACUUUUACCAUUCAGUUUGGGAACCGCCUAUAAUGUAUGUAGCAUGGAAGAUAUCGCCAUCUCAUAGUUGUUGCGUUCACAGUGAAAGUAUGCCACUCAAAAUGUUAUUCAUCUCUAUUUUAAAUUCGAGCUUUGGCACCUCUACAAAUCCCUGCUUCCCUCUGCGAAGAGCCUAUCUAUUUACUUUUAUGUUGAGUCAUCACCCUCUUAUUAAAAAGCACCCGCUGGAGAGCACGCUGUCAUUUGCAUGUAUUACUAUUAGUUUAUAUUGGGUAUGACUUGACUGGAUCUCUUUUACCAUGAAUUAUAAUGUUUAGUCAGUCCUUGAUCUUUAAAGGUGUUGUGCAUUUAUGUUUUGCGGUCUCAGAAAGGGCUAGUGAGAUACCAUCUUGUUAUAUCAUAUUAUGAUUGUUUUGAGAAACUGUUGUCAUCCGAGUUUUAUUAUUAUUGCUCGCUAGCUGAUUAUGCCAUUGAUAUGAGUAAACAUGAGACCUAAGUGUUAUUGUGAAUAUGGUUAGUUCAUAAUCUUUGCUGAAAACUUGAAUGCUGGCUUUACAUAUUUACAACAAGAGAAAAUAGAGUUUGUAAAAGUUUUUCUUUAUCACUUUCAGUUUAUCAACUGAAUUGCUUGAGGACAAGCAAAGCUUUAAGCUUGGGGGAGUUGAUACGUCUCCAACAUAUCUACUUUUCCAAACACUUUUGCCCUUGUUUUGGACUCUAACUUGCAUGAUUUGAAUGAAACUAACCCGGACUGACGCUGUUUUUAGCAGAACUGCCAUGGUGUUGUUUAUUGUGCAGAAAACAAAAGUUCUCGGAAUGACCUGAAAAUCCACGGAGAUAACUUUUCGAAAAUAUAAAAAAUACUGGCGAAAGAAUCAAGGCCAGGGGGCCCACACUCUGUCCACGAGGGUGGGGGGCGUGCCCCCUCCCCUUGGGCGUGCCCCCUAUCUUGUGGGCCCCCUGAUGCUCCAUUGACCUCAACUCCAACUCUAUAUAUUCCGUUUCGUGGAGAAAAAAAUCAGAGAGAAAGUUUCAUCGCAUUUUACGAUACGAGGCCACCGCCAAGCCCUAAUCUCUCUCGGGAGGGCUGAUCUGGAGUCCGUUCGGGGCUCCGGGGAGGGGGAUUCGUUGCCAUCGUCAUCAUCAACCAUCCUCUUGUUGGGGAACGUAGCAGAAAUUCAAAAUUUUCUACGCAUCACCAAGAUCAAUCUAUGGAGAUUCUAGCAACAAGAGAGGGAGAGGAUGAGUGUAUCUUCAUACCCUUGAAGAUCACGAUGCGGAAGCAUUACAAGAACGCGGUUGGUGUAGUCGUACACGCAGCGAUUCAGAUCACGGUCGAUUCCGAUCUAAGCGCCGAACGGACGGCGCCUCCGCGUUCAACACACGUACAGCCCGGGGACGUCUCCUCCUUCUUGAUCCAGCAAGGGGAUAGGAGAAGUUGAGGAAGAACUCCGACAGCACGAUGGCGUGGUGGUGAUGGAGCUCGUGGUUCUCCAGCAGGGCUUCGCCAAGCACUACGUAGGAGGAGGAGGUGUUGGAGGAGGGAGAGGGCUGCGCCAGGGGAAGAGUGCAGCUGCCCUCUCUCUCCCUCACUAUAUAUAGGGGGAAGGGAGGAGGGGGAGGCGCCCUAGGGUUCCCUAGGGGAGGGGCGGCGGCCACAGGGGAAACCCUAGAUGGGUCUGGGCGCCCCCACCCCAUAGGAAACUUGCCCCCCAAGCUGGGAGGGUGGCUUCCCUAGGGGUGGAGCCCCCACCUCUCCUGGUUACGUGAGAUGGGGUGGGAGGGGCGCUCAGCCCCUUAGUGGGCUGAUGUGCCCUCUCCCCUUGGCCCAUAAGGCCCCCCAACGCUUGCCGGGGCCUCUGAAACCCCUUUCGGACAUGCUGGUCAUCACCUGGUACCCCCGGAACAAUUCCGGACUCCAAUACCCUUCAUCCAAUAUACCGAUCUUCACCUCCAGACCAUUCCGGAGCUCCUCGUCAUGUCCGGAAUCUCAUCCGGGACUCCGAACAACCUUCAGUAACCACAUACUAUUUUCCAUAACAACUCUAGCGUCAUCAAGCCUUAAGUGUGUAGACCCUACGGGUUCGGGAACCAUGCAGACAUGACCGAGACGUUCUCCAGUCAAUAACCAACAGCGGGAUCUGGAUACCCAUGUUGGCUCCCACAUGUUCCACGAUGAUCUCAUCGGAUGAACCACGAUGUCAAGGAUUCAAGCAAUCCCGUAUGCAAUUCCCUUUGUCAAUCGGUAUGUUACUUGCCCGAGAUUCGAUCGUCGGUAUCCCAAUACCUCGUUCAAUCUCGUUACUGGCAAGUCACUUUACUCGUUCCGUAAUGCAUGAUCCCGUGACUAACUACUUAGUCACAUUGAGCUCAUUAUGAUGAUGCAUUACCGAGUGGGCCCAGAGAUACCUCUCCGUCAUACGGAGUGACAAAUCCCAGUCUCAAUUCGUGCCAACCCAGCAAACACUUUCGGAGAUACCUGUAGUGCACCUUUAUAGCCACCCAGUUACGUUGUGACGUUUGGCACACCCAAAGCAUUCCUACGGUAUCCGGGAGUUGCACAAUCUCAUGGUCUAAGGAAAUGAUACUUGACAUUAGAAAAGCUUUUAGCAAACAAACUACACGAUCUUGUGCUAUGCUUAGGAUUGGGUCUUGUCCAUCACAUCAUUCUCCUAAUGAUGUGAUCCCGUUAUCAAUGACAUCCAAUGUCCAUGGUCAGGAAACCAUAACCAUCUAUUGAUCAACGAGCUACUCAACUAGAGGCUCACUAGGGACAUGUUGUGGUCUAUGUAUUCACACAUGUAUUAUGGUUUCCAGUUAAUACAAUUAUAGCAUGAACAAUAGACAAUUAUCAUAAACAAGGAAAUAUAAUAAUAACCAUUUUAUUAUUGCCUCUAGGGCAUAUUUCCAACAGUCUCCCACUUGUACUAGAGUCAAUAAUCUAGUUCACAUCACUAUGUGAUUGUAAUGAAUCCAACACCCAUUGGGUUUGAUCAUAUCUCGCUUGUGAGAGAGGUUAUAAGUCAACGGGUCUGAAUCUUUCAGAUCCGUGUGUGCUUUACAAAUCUCUAUGUCAUCUCCUAGAUGCAGCUACCACGCUCUAUUUGAAGCUAUUCCAAAUAACUGUUCUACUAUACGAUUCCGGUUUACUACUCAGAAUAAUCCGGAUUAGUGUCAAAGUUCACAUCGGCGUAACCCUUUACGACGAACUCUUUUACCACCUCCAUAAUCGAGAAAAUUCCUUAGUCCACUAGUUACUAAGGGUAUGUUUGACCAUUGUCUUGUUAUCCAUUCCUGGAUCAUUCUUGUACCCCUUGACUGACUCAUGGCAAGGCACACUUCAGGUGCGGUACACAGCAUAACAUACUGUAGAUCCUAUGUCUGAAGCAUAGGGGACGACCUUCGUCCAUUCUCUCUCUUCUGCCGAGGUCAUGUCUUGAGUCUUACUCAAUACUCACACCUUACAACACAACCAAGAACUCCGUCUUCGCCGAUCUAUUUUGAACCUCUUCAAAAUCUUGUCACGACAUGUAUUCAUUUGAAAGUAUUAUUCAGUUGAUCUAUCCUUAUAGAUCUUGAUGCUCAAUGUCCAAGUAGCUUAAUCCAGGUUUUCCAUUGAAAAACACCUUUUCAAAUACCCUAUAUGCUUUCUAGAAAUUCUACAGCAUUUCUAAUCAACAAUAUGUUAACAACAUAUACUCAUCAGAAAUUCUAUAGUGCUCCCACUCACUUCUUUGGAAAUACAAGUUUCUCAUAAACUUUGUAUAAACCCAAAAUCUUUGAUCAUCUCAUCAAAGCAUAUAUUCCAUCUCCGAGAUACUUACUCUAGUCCUUAGAAGGAUUACUGGAGCUUUGCAUACUUCUUAGCAUCUUUCAGGAUUGACAAAACCUUCUGGUUGUAUCACAUGCAACCUUUCCUCAAAAAAAUCAUUAAGGAAACAAUGUUUUAACACCCUAUCUUCAAGAUUUCAUAAAUAAUGCAGUAACUGCUAAUAUAAUUCCAACAUACUCUUAGCAUCGCUACGAGUGAGAAAGUCUCACCGUAGUCAACUCCUUGAACUUGUCGGAAAACAUCUCAGCGACAAGUCGAGCUUUGUUAAUGGUGACACUUACCAUCAUUGUCUGUAUUCCCUUUAAAAAUCCAUCUGUACCCAACAGCCUUAUGACCAUCAAGUAGUUCUUCCAAAGUCUACACUUUGUUUUAUACAUGGAUCUUCUCUCGGAUUUUAUGGCCUCGAGCCAUUUGUCGGAAUCCGGGCCCACCAUCGCUUCUCCAUAGCUCGUAGGUUCAUUGUUGUCUAGCAACAUGACCUCCAAGACAGGAUUACCGUACCACUCUGAAGCAGUACGCGUCCUUGUCGUUCUACGAGGUUCGGCAGUGACUUGAUCCGAGGCUUCAUGAUCACUAUCAUCAGCUUCCACUUCAAUUGGUGUAGGUGCCACAGGAACAACUUCCUGUGCCCUGCUACACACUAGUUGUAGUGACGGUUCAAUAACCAUAUCAAGUCUCCACCAUCCUCCCACUCAAUUCUUUCGAGAGAAACUUUUCCUCGAGAAAGGACCCGUUACUAGAAACAAUCACUUUUGCUUCCGGAUCUGAAAUAGGAGGUAUACCCAACUGUUUUAGGUGUCCUAUGAAGAUGUAUUUAUCCGCUUUGGAUUCGAGCUUAUCAGGAUGAAACUUUUUUUCACAUAAGCGUCGCAGCCCCAAACUUUCAAGGAACGACAGCUUAGGUUUCUCUAAACCAUAGUUCAUACGGUGUCAUCUCAACAGAAUUACAUGGUGCCCUAUUUAAAGUGAAUUUGGUUGUCUCUAAUGCCUAACCUAUGAACGAUAGUGGUAAUUCGAUAAGAGACAUCAUGGUAUGCCCCAUAUCCAAUAGGGUGCAGUUAUGAUGUUCGGACACACCAUCACACUAUGGUGUUCCAGGCGGUAUUAGUUGUGAAACAAUUUCCACAAUGUCUUAAUUGUGUGCCAAACUCGUAACUCAGAUAUUUAUCUCUAUGAUCAUAUCAUAGACAUUUUAUCCUCUUGUCACGACGAUCUUCAACUUCACUCUGAAAUUACUUGAACCUUUCAAUAAUUCAGAUUUGUGUUUCAUCAAGUAAAUAUACUAAGAAUCUACUCAAAUCAUCUGUGAAGUAAGAGCAUAAUGAUAUUCACCGCGUGCCUCAUCACUCAUUGGAUUGCACACAUCAAAUGUAUUACUUCCAACAAGUUGCUCUCUUGUUCCAUCUCACUGAAAACGAGGCCUUUCAGUCAUCUUACCCAUGUGGUAUGAUUUGCAUGUCUCAAGUGAUUCAAAAACAAGUGAGUCCAAACGAUCCAUCUGCAUGGAGUUUCUUCAUGCGUAUAUACCAAUAGACGUGGUUUGCAUGUCUCAAUCUUUUCAAAAACGAGUGAGUCCAAAGAUCCAUCAAUAUGGAGCUUCUUCAUGCGUUUUUACCAAUAUGACUUAAGUGGCAGUGCCACAAGUAUGUGGUACUAUCAUUACUAUCUUAUAUCUUUUGGCACGAACAUGUGUAUCACUACGAUCAAGAUUCAAUAAACCAUUCAUUUUAGGUGCAAGACAGUUGAAGGUAUUAUUCAAAUAAACAGAGUAACCAUUAUUCUGCUUAAAUGAAUAACCGUAUUGCGAUAAACAUAAUCCAAUCAUGUUUAUGCUCAACGCAAACACCAAAUAACAAUUAUUUAGGUUUAACACCAAUCUCGAUGGUAGAGGGAGCAGGCAAUGCUUGAUCACAUCAACCUUGGAAACACUUCCAACACACAUCGUCAUCUCACCUUUAGCUAGUCUCCGUUUAUUCCGUAGCUCUUUUAUUUCGAGUUACUAACACUUAGCAACCGAACCGGUAUCUUAAUACCCUGGUGCUACUAGGAGUACUAGUAAAGUACACAUUUAAUACAAUGUAUAUCCAAUAUACUUCUGUCAACCUUGCCAGCCUUCUCAUCUACCAAGUAUCUAGGGUAGUUCUACUUCAGUGACUGUACCCUCAUUACAGAAGCACUUACUCUCGGGUUUGGGUUCAACCCUGGGUUUCUUCACUAGAGCAGCAACUGAUUUGUCGUCUCAUGAAGUAUCCCUUCUUGCCCUUGCCCUUCUUGAAACUAGUGGUUUUACUAACCAUCAACAAUUGAUGCUCCUACUCGAUUUCUACUUUCGCGGUGUCAAACAUCGUGAAUUGCUCAAGGAUCGUCAUGUUUAUCCCUGAUAUGUUAUAGUUCAUCACGAAGCUCUAAUAGCUUGGUGGCAGUGACUAUGGAGAACCAUCACUAUCUCAUCUGGAAGAUUAAUUCCCACUCAAUUCAAGUGAUUGUAGUACUCAGACAAUCUGAGCACAUGCUCAAUGAUUGAGCUUUUCUCCCUUAGUUUGCAGGUUAAGAAACUUGUCGGAGGUCUCAUACCUCUUGACGUGGGCACGAGCCUGAAAUCCUAAUUUCAGCUCUUGGAACAUCUCAUAUGUUCUGCGACGUUUCAAAAAAUGUCUUCGCUGCCUCAAUUCUAAACCGUUUAACAUUACGCACUGAACUAUCACAUAGUCAUCAAAACGUGUAUGUCAGAUGUUCGCAACAUCCACAAACGACGCUAGAGGUUCAGCACACCGAGUGGUGCAUUAAGGACAUAAGCCUUCUGUGCCGCAAUGAGGACAAUCCUCAGUGUACAGACCCAGUCUGCAUAAUUGCUACUAUCAACUUUCAACUAAAAUUUUCUCUAGGAACAUAUCUUAAACAGUAGAACUAAAGCGCAAGCUAUGACAUAAUUUGCAAAGUCCUUUUGACUAUGUUCAUGAUAAUUAAGUUCAUCUAAUGAACUCCCACUCAGAUAGACAUCCCUCUAGUCAUCUAAGUGAUACAUGAUCCAAGUCAACUAGGCCGUGUCCGAUCAUCACGUGAGACGGACUAGUCAUCAUCGGUGAACAUCUCCAUGUUGAUCGUAUCUACUAUACGACUCAUGUUCGACCUUUCGGUCUCUUGUGUUCCGAGGCCAUGUCUGUACAUGCUAGGCUCGUCAAGUCACCCUAAGUGUUUUGCGUGUGUAAAUCUGGCUUACACCCGUUGUAUGUGAACGUUAGAAUCUAUCACACCCGAUCAUCACGUGGUGCUUCGAAACAACGAACUUUCACAAUGGUGCACAGUUAGGGGGAACACUUUCUUGAAAUGUUAAUGAGGGAUCAUCUUAUUUAUGCUACCGUUGUUCUAAGCAAAUAAGAUGUAAUCAUGAUAAACAUCACAUGCAAAUCAUAAAGUGACAUGAUAUGGCCAAUAUCAUCUUGCGCCUUUGAUCUCCAUCUUAAGGCACGACAUGAUCACCUUCGUCACUGGCAUGACACCAUGAUCUCCAUCAUCGUGUCUUCAUGAAGUUGUCUCGCCAACUGUUACUUCUACUACUAUGGCUAACGGUUUAGCAAUAAAUUAAAGUAAUUACAUGGCGUUUUCAAUGACAUGCAGGUCAUACAAUAAAUUAAGACAACUCCUAUGGCUCUUGCCGGUUGUCAUACUCAUCGACAUGCAAGUCGUGAUUCCUAUUACAAGAACAUGAUCAAUCUCAUACAUCACAUAUAUCAUUCAUCACAUUCUUUUGGCCAUAUCACAUCACAUAGCAUACCCUACAAAAACAAGUUAGACGUCCUCUAAUUGUUGUUGCAUGUUUUACGUGGCUGCUAUGGGUUUCUAGCAAGAACGUUUCUUACCUACGCAAAAGCCACAACGGUGAUAUGCCAAUUGUUAUUACCCUUCAUAAGGACCCUUUUCAUCGAAUUCGAUCCAACUAAAGUGGGAGAGACUGGCACCCGCUAGCCACCUUUAUGCAACAAGUGCAUGUCAGUCGGUGGAACCUGUCUCACGUAAGUGUACGUGUAAGGUCGGUCUGGGCCGCUUCAUCCCACAAUACCGUCGAAACAAGAUAGGACUAGUAACGGUAAGCAUAUUGAACAAAACCAACGCCCACAACUACUUGUGUUCUACUCGUGCAUAGAAUCUACGCAAUAGACCUAGCUCAUGAUGCCACUGUUGGGGAACGUAGCAGAAAUUCAAAAAAAUUUACGCAUCACCAAGAUCAAUCUAUGGAGAUUCUAGCAACAAGAUAGGGAGAGGAUGAGUGUAUCUUCAUACCCUUGAAGAUCGCGAUGCGGAAGCGUUACAAGAAUGCGGUUGGUGGAGUCGUACACGCAUCGAUUCAGAUCGCGGUAGAUUCCGAUCUAAGCGCCGAACGGACGGCGCCUCCGCGUUCAACACACGUACAGCCCGGGGGCGUCUCCUCCUUAUUGAUCCAUCAAGGGGAGCGGAGAAGUUGAGGGAUAACUCCGACAGCACGACAACGUGGUGGUGAUGGAGCUCGUGGUUCUCCGAUAGGGCUUCGCCAAGCACUACGGAGGAGGAGGAGGUGUUGGAGGAGGGAGAGGGAUGCGCCAGGGGAAGGGUGCAGCUGCCCUCUCUCUCCCUCACUAUAUAUAGGGGGAAGGGAGGAGGGGGAGGCCCCUGGGGUUCCCUAGGGGAGGGGCGGCGGCCACAGGGGAAACCCUAGAUGGGUUGGGCGCCCCCACCCCCUAGGAAACUUUCCCCCCAAGCCGGGAGGGGCGGCUGCCCUAGGGGUGGCGCCCCCACCUCUCUUGGUUACGUGAGAUGGGGUGGAGGGGCGCUCAGCCCCUUAGUGGGCUGAUGUGCCCUCUCCCCUUGGCCCAUAAGGCCCCCCAACGCUUGCCGAGGCCUCCGAAACCCCUUUCGGACACGCUGGUCAUCACCUGGUACCCCCGGAACAAUUCCGGACUCCAAUACCCUUCGUCCAAUAUACCUAUCUUCACCUCUGGACCAUUCCGGAGCUCCUCGUCAUGUCCGGGAUCUCAUCCGGGACUCCGAACAACCUUUGGUAACCACAUACUAUUUCCCAUAACAACUCUAGCGUCACCGAACCUUAAGUGUGUAGACCCUACGGGUUCGGGAACCAUGCAGACAUGACCGAGACGUUCUCCGGUCAAUAACCAAUAGCGGGAUCUGGAUACCCAUGUUGGCUCCCACAUGUUCCACGAUGAUCUUAUCGUAUGAACCACGAUGUCAAGGAUUCAAGCAAUCCCGUAUGCAAUUCCCUUUGUCAAUCGGUAUGUUACUUGCCCGAGAUUCGAUCGUCAGUAUCCCAAUACCUCGUUCAAUCUCGUUACCGGCAAGUUACUUUAUUUGUUCCGUAAUGCAUGAUCCCAUGACUAACUACUUAGUCACAUUGAGCUCAUUAUGAUGAUGCAUUACCGAGUGGGCCCAGAGAUACCUCUCCGUCAUACGGAGUGACAAAUCCCAGUCUCAAUUCGUGCCAACCCAACAAACACUUUCGGAGAUACCUGUAGUGCACCUUUAUAGCCACCCAGUUACGUUGUGACGUUUGGCACACCCAAAGCAUUCCUACGGUAUCCGGGAGUUGCACAAUCUCAUGGUCUAAGGAAAUGAUACUUGACAUUAGAAAAGCUUUUAGCAAACGAACUACACGAUCUUGUGCUAUGCUUAGGAUUGGAUCUUGUCCAUCACAUCAUUCUCCUAAUGAUGUGAUCCCGUUAUCAAUGACAUCCAAUGUCCAUGGUCAGGAAACCAUAACCAUCUAUUGAUCAACGAGCUAGUCAACUAGAGGCUCACUAGGGACAUGUUGUGGUCUAUGUAUUCACACAUAUAUUAUGGUUUCCAGUUAAUACAAUUAUAGCAUGAACAAUAGACAGUUAUCAUAAACAAGGAAAUAUAAUAAUAAUCAUUUUAUUAUUGCCUCUAGGGCAUAUUUCCAACAAUCACCAAUUUCAUGAUGCUCACCGCUGUGCGUGAGUAAUUCCAUCGUAGGCUUCCUGGACAGUGAUGGGUUGGAUGAGAUUUACCAUGUAAUCAAGUUAGUUUUGUUAUGGUUUGAUCCCUAGUAUCCACUAUGAAAAGGAUCGAGAUGGACCUAGAGGGGGGGGGAUGAAUAGGUACAAUUACAAAUUUUAAGUAUUACUUAGCAAUUUUAGGCAAUAAUGCGGAAUAUGAAGGUGAGCCUAACAAUUGCUAGUAAGUACUAAGUACAAGGAAAGUAACACAAGCAUAUAAGUGAGCAAGCACAAUAUGAUGUAAGUAAGUGCAAACAAGACAAGUAGCCACAAGUAGAGAGUUAGGGUUAGGAAUAACCGCAACUCCGGGAGACGAGGAUGUAUGCCGAUGUUCACUUCCUUGGAGGGAAGCUAGUCACCGUUAGAGAGGUGGAUGUUACCACGAAGGCACACCAACGCCACGAAGGCUCACCCUAUUCUCCCUUGGAAACAACACCAUGAAGGCGUUUCUCAACCACUAGUGGUAGACCUUGGGGUGGUCUCCAAACCCUCACAAACAUAUCCGGGGGUAAUCACAAAGGUCGAUUCCUCUCCGAAAGACUCCUACCGCCUAGGAGUCUCCAACCUCCAAGAGUAACAAGAUCGAUGGGGAUUUGCUCAAGACUUGCUCAAAUCACGAAUUCCUUGGGUGCAAAGAAGGAGGAGAAGUGGAUCUAUCACUUGAUCGGACAACUUCUUCCCAAAGCUCUCAAAUCCCUUGGGGAUCUAAGAUUUGGUGUGGAGGAAUGAGAGAGAGUGUGAGAAGUGUUCUAGGGUUUGUUCAAAGUGAAUGGUCAACCUCUCUAGUGGGAAAGAGAGGCAAUAUAUAUAGUGUGAGCUCAAAUAUGGCCGUUGUAGUGCAAGUGAACGGGCAGGCCGGACAUCCGGGCUGGAGGCCGGACAUCCGACCUGUCAAGCCACUUGGAGAACAGGGCAGAACAGAGUAGGAACCAGAGGAGCCGUACAUCCGGGGGUCAAGCCCGGACAUCCGGCGAAAAGGGAAGCCCGGACAUCCGAAAGAUAGCCGGACAUCCGGAGAGCCCACGAACGUUUACAGAACCACAUCAGUUUGUCGGGCAGUAAGGGGCCAGACAUCCGGAAAGGGGCCUGGACAUCCGGUAAGACAGGAAGGCCCGGAAAUCCGGCACACACCCGGACAUCCGGCGAAAAACAGAAAACCUACUAGACAGGAAGGCCAGAUAUCCGGGGCAAGAGCCAGAUAUCCGGGAGAGGACAGCGGCCCGGACAUCCGGCACGAGGCCCGGACAUCCGACACUCCCAGAGACAGAAUGGAUCAAAGACCUAUAGAAAAGAGUAUUUUGACUCGAGCAAGUCCGUUACGAACCCAAUCGAUCCCCUCUUAAUAGUGCGGGAUCCUAUACUCAAGGAAACAAAAUGAAACAUCAUUUUAACACUUCAACCUUGAGAGAACCCACAUCGUAUGCUCUUGAUCCACACACAAUUUUGAUGAACCGGGGACCAACACCUGAGAUUCACUUGGCAGCCAUUGUUAGUCCCCUACAUGUAGAUUGUCAUAACCAACAAAAACAUAAUGUAAGGGCAUGAUUGCACUUUCAAUCUCCCCCUUUUUGUUUGUUGAUGACAAUCAUACAUGUAGUAUCAUAGAUGUAAUAAAUAGUCUUAGCAAUGAUAAUCAUGGGAGCAAAACGCAUACAGAAUAUGUUUAGUUACAAUUUGCUUUUAGCUCCCCCUCAUUGUGUGCAUGCGAUGAAUAUAUUAGGAUGACCAACACAACAGUUUUCAUAUGUGACUUAAAGAAUUAAAGAAGUAAGAGACGAGCACAUAUGAAAUCAUCAUAACACUUCAAAUAGACUGAGAACAUUUCAUGGCCAUGCCAUAAUCAUAACAUAGUCUCAAGCGAACAAGUACCAUAGGUAGCAGCAUAAACAUAAUCAUAACAUAUUCUCAAGCGAACAAGUACCAUAGGGAAUAACAUAUCAUAGCAUGACCAUAUUACUACGAUACUACUUCUCCCCCUUUGACAGCAACAAGUAAAAAAGGGGUGAAGAACUAAACAGUCUCAAUCACUCUUGACGGAUGUCAUCAUCAUCAUCAAGAAACUUGGGGUAGUCAGCACGAGAUGGAAAGCCAGAAGUGGACGAGGAUGGAGCUGCGGGAAGAGGAUCAUCAUCACUAACAGGACUCCCACGGUCACGGAGGCGAUGUUUGAGUAUAUUCUUGGAGAUGACAAGGCGCUUCUGAACAUCAUGAUUCUACUGACAGCUGAAAGUGAUUGCCUUCAUGAUAGCAGACUGAGCCUUACCCAAGAAUGAUGCAAAACGGCCACGAGGAGCGGUCGAGGAAGAUGGAACAGAAGAACCAGUGGGCUGAGUAGGAGCAGCUGUCCUCCCACCAGCAGACCUCCUAGGCUGAGUAGGAGCCUUAGCCGUCACACGCAUGUGAGGAGGAGGUUUCCAAAUGGAGUGCACAAUUGACUUAACCACCUCAAAUGGAGCAGUGUGAUCAAUCAGAGCCUGAAUAUAUGGGGCAUGAGGGAACUGGCACGUCUGAAUAAAACUGCAAAGACGGAUCUCAUGCCAAAUGAAGUUGGCAGUGUCCAGAGGCACAGUGGGUUUCUCAUGCAUAUGAACCAUCAAGUCAAUACAAUAGUUGCGAGCCCUCGAGCGAUCUCCCUUCUUAGGAUAUAGAAUGCGAAGCACACACUGAAAGAGGAUGAAGAAAGGAGCAUGGAAUAUGGAUACCUCAUUGACUGGAUAUGCUUUUUCUUCAUCAGUGAGCUGAGAGGGAGGUUUUACAAGAGGCAUGCAAGCAUCAAUCCCUUUGGGCUUGCCCUCUGGAUCCAUACUGUGGAUGCAAUGGCCAACACCCGAGAGACCCAAAAUCUGAACAAACCUGUCAUAGGUGAUGCUCAGUGUAGUGUCAUCGGUCAUCCAAGUGAGAGUGUUGUCCGGACCAAAGAAACAGGUGGCAUAGAACUGUAGAAUGGCAGCUUCACUCCAAUCACACCUGAAGGUCAUUGCGGGACCAAGAGUCAUGUCAUAAAUGAUCUUGACUGGAUUGUUAGGGAACAUGGCAGGAUUAUCACGUAGGAAGUUUAGAUCCAAGUAUGAGUGAGGAGCAAGGCCACGCCCAUGGACAAAACUGGAAUAGAGAUCCUGCUGCAUACGAGUCCGGAAUCGAGGAUCUUCGGCAUCAGCCACCAUCUCAUAUUGAUUGACAUCCCGACGGAACUAAAGAUAUUGCCCCGCCCCCACAGUUGUGAAGUCGUGAGUGGGGCGACCUCCGCUAUCAGGAAGCUCCAUGGAGAUGCGACGACCAUGGGUAAUGGGUAUUGCAGAACCAUGAACUUGAGGCAUUGGCGCCCUCCUAGUACCGGGCUUGGACUGUCCAACAGACUGUCGUGGUGCACUGUCAUCCUCUUCCUCUCCAACAUAGUCCACAUCAUCUGGAUCCGAGGCCGAUGGACUGGUGGAUGGUGCUCGCUUCUUCUUCUUGGUGGUGGCCUUCUUUUUCUUGGGCCGCGCAUGCUCAUCGGAGUCAGUGGAGCCUUGCCGGCGAUCAACUGGAAUGGAUAAUGAAUGGUUUUCAAUAAGAAGAAGCCAAAGAACAUGAACAAGGAUACGCCAAAUUAAACCGUGGAAUGAACAAAUUUCAUUCCCAUGGUUAAGUUGAGUAACCGAGUGCAUAUAGAGGUGUUUGUAGGCUUAGGUAAACAGAACCUAAAUGCGAGAGCAAUAGAUAUGGUAAGAUGUACAUGGAGAAUAAUGCAACCCAAUAAGAUUUAGUCACAAGCAAGGGAAGAUGAGAAGAGAUAGCACCCUUACCCCGAGAAGACACCUCGGGACGAUUGGGACCGUAGUUCUUGGUACGAGCCAUGAAGAACUCCGAAGGUGAAUCCCACCGAACACCGGCCCCUCCCAAGAGACUCAAGCCACAAUCCAAGAAAUGGAUUGGAUAGAAUCGUAGAUCGGGAGGAGAGGAGUCCGUUGGCAGGAGAUCAGGGCCGGAGGUCGAAGGAGAUGGGCGGGGCAGCACCGGAGUAGCGGCCCGGCGGCGGCGGCUGUGAGGAGAGAUGAGGAGAGGGACGAAGGGAAAAAAAAUGGAACUGCCCCCAAACCCCACACCCCCUCCCCAGGUAUACGCGACUUGCGGGUGACGGGCCGGACAUCCGGGGCAAGGCCCGGAUAUCCGGCGAGUGGAAAACAGAGACCAGAGAAGCAGCGCCCGGAUGUCCGGCUGAGGCCCGGAUGUCCGGCCACUGACGGUAGUUUAUGAUUGUUUUGAUGGGCAAGGAUUUUUUUCACAGAGCCCGGAUGUCCGGCGAGAGACCCGGAUGUCCGGUCACUGGACAGACGACACACACAAGGGAGAGAUGUGAAGGAGGGGGCUGACACGAGAAUUUUAUAUAGACACCGCCAAGUAGUUUACAUGAGAUUAAUAAGGGGGACAACAUGAGACGUCUAAGGCCAUGCUAAGAUGCAUAAAUAAUCCAAACAUGAUUAAGAAGAAGGGUCCAUAUAAGCAUUGUACAAGCGGUGACUGAGGUCACCAUGUUUGAGCAUAUGGAACAUAGUACCACAAAGAUAUAAACUUUGAGCACAUGGUCACGACUCCAUCAUAUUAAAGUAUCCUAGUUUGAAAAAAACUAUGAUAACUUUGAGAGUGUUUGUUCAAUUUAUGCAUUAUGUAAGGUGAGAGAACUCAUGGAUUGAGUGUCUCCCCCUAAAUAUAUGCCUACAUCAAGACGAGACAUUAAGUUUAUGCAUGGAUGGGUACUAGAUUUCACAUAAUGUUGUCAAGCUCCAAGAUACCAAGUUCACGCCUAAGUCGACAGAACCUUGCUUCAUCCAAUGGUUUGGUGAAAAUAUCUGCCAGUUGCAAAUCUGUACCAAUAUGAUCAAUGUGAAUAUCACCCUUCUCAACAUGAUCUCUCAAGAAGUGAUAUCUAAUAUCAAUGUGCUUGGUGCGGAGAUGAUCCUUGGGGUUCUCAGCAAUGUUGAUAGCACUUUCAUUAUCACAUAGAAGAGGCACAUGUCUAUAGGUGAUAACGUAAUCCUUCAAAGUUUGCCUCAUCCAUAAUAACUGAGUUGCACAACUGGCGGCAGCAAUGUAUUCAGCUUCUGCGGUAGAGAGGGCAAUACAAUUUUGUUUCUUCGAUGACCAACUUACCAAGGAGCGUCCAAGAAAUUGACAUGCACCAUAAGUGGACUUACGAUCCACUUUGUCUCCGGCCCAAUCCGCAUCCGUGUACCCAAUGAGAUCAAACUUAGCAUCCUUGGGAUACCAUAGACCCAACUUUGGGGUAUGAACAAGGUAUCUAAGAAUAUGCUUAACCGCCUUAUGAUGACUUUCCCUAGGGGAAGCUUGAAAUCUAGCACACAUGCAUACACUAAACAUGAUGUCUGGUCUAGAUGCACAAAGAUAAAGCAAUCAACCAAUCAUAGAGCGAUAUUUAGAUGGGUCGAAAGGGAUACCGUUUGUGUCUUUAGUGAGUGUUAUUUUGGUUGGCAUUGGUUUCUUACAUGGACUAGCAUCAGACAUACCAAACUUCUCUAGGAUAUCCUUGAGGUAUUUUGCUUGGGACAAGAAAAUUCCUUCUUGAAUUGUUGAAUUUGAAAUCCGAGGAAGAACUUCAAAUCCGCAUUGAGUGACAUUUCAAAAUUCUUGGUCAUUGACGCUGCAAACUUCUUGCACAAAUGAAUGUUAGGAGAACCAAAAAUGAUAUCAUCUACAUAGAUUUGGCAUAAGAUCAAAUCACCCUUAUCCCUCUUAGUAAAAAGAGUGGGAUCGAUCACCCCUCUCACUAAACCAUCAUCGAGUAAAAACUUCUUAAGAUGAUCAUACCAAGCACGAGGUGCUUGUUUGAGGCCAUACAAAGCCUUAUGAAGUUUAUACACAUAGUCUUUGUGAUUGGGAUCAACGAACCCAGGUGGUUGUGAUACAUAUACUUCUUCUUGUAGAGGACCAUUAAGGAAAGCACUCUUCACAUCCAUUUGAUGUAGUGUAAAACCAUUGAAAGCAGCAUAAGCAAGUAAGAUGCAAAUGGAUUCAAGAUGGGCAACAGGGGCAAAGGUCUCACCAAAGUCCAAACCUUCAACUUGCGAGUACCCUUGUGCCACUAACCUUGCCUUGUUUCGGAUGAUUACACCAUUCUCAUCUUGUUUGUUCUUGAAAAUCCAUUUUGUUCCAAUGACGUUGUGUUCGGUAGGUGGCCUCUUGACUAAUGACCACACUUGGUUGCAUUCAAAACUGUUCAACUCUUCUUGCAUAGCAACUAGCCAAUCGUUGUCCAUCAAUGCAUCUUGUACCUUGAUGGGCUCAAAACUAGACACAAAAGAGAAGUGAGCACAAAAGUUGGUCAAAUGUUUACGAGUGACUCUACCUUCCGAUAUGCCGGUGAGUAUUUUGUCAACAUCAACACGACCGGCCACUCGUGGCAUGAUAGAGGUAAGGGUUUCACGAGGUUCAACUUCAUGUCCAUCAUCCACAUCCUCAAAAUAUGGAUCAUUAAUGUGUGGAGGAAGAUCUUCUUGUUCAUAUUGCAUUUGUUGAGGUUCAUCAUCAAUGGUUGGACUUUCUUGUUCUUGUUCUUGAAGAUUGUCAUGAGGAGGAACUUGAUCAUCCUCUUCAACUUGGGCUAAGGGUAUCGGUUGAGCAAUAGGGGCUUGUGGUGGUAUGAAUGUUGAAGUAGUUUGAUGAUGUGUGAGACUUCUAUCUUCUUCUUCAUCAUCAUGAGGUUCUUGUUCCAUAGGAAGAAGUGCACCAACACCCGUGGUCAAAAUGUCUUGAGAAGAAUCUUCUUCACCUACAUCACUUAGAUCAACUUGCUCCCCAUGGGAGCCAUUAAAUUCAUCAAACACCACGUCACAAGUUUCUGCAACACAUCCAUUGGAUUUGUUGUAGACUCUAUAGGCGUGAGGGUUUGAUCCAUAGCCAAUAAAUAUACCCUCAAUUGUUUUGGAUUGAAAUUUUCCUAACCUUUCUCUUUUGUUGAGGAUGAAACAUUUGCACCCAAAUACACGAAAGUACUUGACAUUUGGCUUGUUUCCAGUUAGAAGCUCAUAUGGAGUCUUUUCCAAUAUAGUGCGGAGGAAGAGCCGGUUUGAUGCAUGACAUGCGGUGUUGACAGCUUCGGCCCAAAAACUAUGUGGUGACUUGUAUUCAUCCAACAUGGACCUUGCCAUCUCCACAAGGGUGCGGUUCUUCCUUUCGGCUACACCAUUUUGCUGAGGAGUGUAUGGAGCUGAAUAUUGAUGCCCAAUCCCUUCAUCACUAAGGAAUUCUUCCAAGGUAUAGUUCUUGAACUCAGAUCCAUUGUCACUUCUUAUUGCCAAGAUUUCUUUGUCAAACUUGCGUUGUGCUUGCUUGGCAAAGUCAAUGAAAGUGAUCUUUGUCUCGUCCUUGGACUUGAGGAAAAACACCCAUGUAUAUCUUAAGUAAUCAUCAACAAUGACAAGUCCAUACUUUUUCCCACCAAGACUAUCCCAUGAAGGAGGCCCAAAGAGAUCCACAUGAAGGAGCUCCAAAGGCCUUGAAGUAGACACAAUAUUCUUGGGUGGGUGCUUUGAUUGAUGUUGCUUCCCGGCUAUACAUGCACUACACACACGAUCUUUCUCAAAAGAGACAUUUGUUAGUCCAAGGAUGUGAUUACCCUUUAAGAGAUCUUGAAGAUUCCUCAUGCCGACAUGGGCUAGCCGGCGAUGCCAUAGCCACCCCUUGUCGGCCUUGGCCAUUAGACAAGUUGCAUGGAAUGUGCUCUCUUUCGAGAAAUCAACCGUGUAAAGGUUGCCAUCCAACUCUCCAACAAAGGCCACUUCGAGAGUAUCUCUCUUAAAGACUUUCACAUCCGUUAGUCCAAAUAGUGUAUCAUAACCAACAGAAGCCAAUUGACGAACAGAAAGCAAAUGAUAUUUAAGGAAUUGGACAAGCAUGACAUUUGCAAGAGACAUCACAUUUGUGAUAGCCACCUUCCCCAACCCAAGUACCUGUCCUUUUGAUCCUCCACCAAACAUAAUGCUCAUAAAUGGUUGAAUAGCUUCCAUGAAAUCGUAGAGCAAUUUGCUAUCUCCGGUCAUAUGAUUGGUACAUCCACUAUCAAUCACCCAUUUUACUCCACCGGAGAAGGCAACCUACACACAAUUAUUACUUGGUUAGAGGCACCCAUUUUGCAAUGGUACCUCUCAAGUUAGUCACAAGUGUCUUAGGGACCCAAAUAGCAUAAAACCGAAAUGCAUUUCGAGGACCAACAAACUUUGCAUAAACUUCUCCAUCCUUAGUCUUACGAAGUACAUAGGAUGGAGGCAUGAACUCUUUUGGCUUGUUAAGAGUGGGCAUGCCCCUUGUGGCCUUCCCACUAGCAACCUUACUUUUCUCCUUGUGUCCUUCUCGUACAAAAGUUUCUUUUAAAGGGGUGGUGCACUUUUGAGAGGAUGUCUUCUUCUUGCUUGUGCUUGGGUCAAACCCGAGUCCCUUCUUGGCGAACACUUCAUUGUGUUGGCUCAACACCUCAUCAAGGUUCUUUUGCCCUUGAGCACAUGUUAUGAGCCCUUUCUCAAUUUGAGCCUUGAGAAAAUGAUUCUCCUCAAGAAUAGAUGCUAGAUCACGACUAGAGUUAGUAGAACAAGCAUCAACAUUUAUAAUAGGAGACGAUUAAGCCUUAGCUAGAGUUUCAAGAUAAGUAAGUUUGAGCGUCUCAAAACUCUUUGUAAGAAGGGUGAGCUCUUCUUCCUUAGUCUUGAGUGACACGGAUAGAAGCUCACAAUCCUUAGAGAGAGAAGCAUGAGACUUCACAAGCUUACUUUUAUCAUUCAUCAACUCUUCACAAGAGCCAAUAGCCUUUUUCAAGGAGGCAAGAUCUUUAGUAUGAACAUCAAUAUUUGCACCAAUUUUUAAGCAUAGUUCAUCAUUUCGUGUUUCCUCAUAUUGGACUUUCCGCUCAAGGUUUUCACAUUUUUCCUUUUCCUCGGUGACGAGGGUUUCGAGUUCCUUAAUGGUGAUGGCGUGCUUACUCACCAUCUCCAUAAGCAUACGAAACAUAGUGAGCUUCUUUCCUUUGAGGGAGCACAUGAACUUAUUAAGUUUAGCAAGCAUAGGAUCAUUUAGAUCAUCAUCCUCAUAACUAUCCUCCGCAUCAAGAUACUCAUCACUAGGAGUAGGAGGAGUGAAAAGAGGAGGGUUUGAUCGUGGGGUUACCUUGACCUUGUCAGGAGAGUGUUGAUCCUCUCCAUCUUCUACCACGGUCUUCGCCAUGAGGCACUUAUGAGCGUUGCCCUUGUAAUCCUUCAUGUAGUUGUAGGUGACAACUUCACCACUCUUAUUGACUAGCCUCAAUGUGUUUUGAGAAUCUUGAGCAACUCCAGCAACACCACUAACAUCAUCCGGAUCUGAUUCUUCUUGAGCAACCAUUGCUUUCCCAUCUCUCUUCUUGAGCUUGGAGUUCAAAGGAUUUGGCAAUUUCUUCUUAGGAAAGGUCUUGGGAAACCUUGGUUUAUCUUCUCUCUUCUCAUAAGGGCACUCAUUUGAGAAGUGGUUGGUUUCCUCACAGUUGUAGCAUUUUCUUACUUUCUUCUUUUGAAAUCUUCCCUUGAAUUUUCCCGCGCUAAACUUCUUGACAAAAAGAGCCAUGUCUUCAUAUGAAGGGCCCUCGUCGGAUUCAAUCUCAUCACCAUCUUCAUCAUCAUCAUCAUCAUCUUCUUCUUCUUCACUUUGCUCAUCUUCACAUACAUGCUUGGCCUUCAAUGCAAGAUUGACCUUUGAUGAUGGGGAACCAUGCAUGGCAAGAUGUUUUGUGGCAUUAGCCUUUGACUCUUCAAAUAGUUGAAAGGUGGAUAUGAUGUCACCUGUAGUCAUUUCCUUGAAGGUAUGGUGUUGUCUUAUGUCCCACACCAUUUGAUGGUGAUAUGGAGCAAGAGCAUGAAGCAAUUUAUCCACAAGGAAUCUUUUAGUCAUGUUGAAUCCAUCUUGUGUCUUGUCACACUCACAUGACUCAAUAUCGGCAGUGAGAGUCAUGAGGCGCUCAUGGAGUUGAUUGGGGGUUUUACCUUUCUCCAUACAAAAGUUUUGCAAUUGCCCCUUGGCAAUUUCAUAUUGAGCACUCCGGAGGGUAGAGGUGCCAGUCUUGGAUCGUAUAAUACUUUCCCAUAGUUCCUUGGCACUUGUGAUGUGUAUGAACGGUCUCCUUUGCUUUUCAUCCAUGCCUCUCCUUAUACACAUGAUUGCAGUGUCAUUGAGGUUCUUGUCAUAUAUUUCUCUUGGUGUGGGGUUCUUUGGAUCAACCACAUGAUAGCCAUACUCCAGGAUCUCCAGCAUCGCAUUGUUUCCAUGUCGAAGAUGAUCCUGCAUAGCAACUCUCCACAAGGCAAAAUCGGAAGUGGCACUUAGUAAAGGAGGUUUGCCUUGAGGGUUAUAUCUUGGUUUCUCAACCUGAGGUCUUGCAUAAAGCCAAGGAACACUGGCGUGUUCAUUGCUAGGAGGUUGUUGACCAAGUGAUGGAGUAGGCACAGUUGGCCUCAAGGCAGCACCACCCGAGAGUGGUGCAAGCACUGUGGACAAAGUGGCUAAUCUCAUUUGGAUCAAGGCCUUAAGAGAAGCAUCAUGCUCCUCUUUUUUCUUAGCAAGGGCCCGUUCUAGAUCCUCCGACGUAAAGGACUUGACUUCAAAGGAAGCCUCGCCUUUAUCCUUAGGAUCUACAACCAGGAGAGUCCCAUCCGGGUUCAUCUCGCUCUAGGGCGGUUAAGCCACAAGAAUAGAGCACGAGGCUCUGAUACCAAUUGAAAAGGAUCGAUAUGGACCUAGAGGGGGGGUGAAUAGGUACAAUUACAAAUUUUAUGUAUUACUUAGCAAUUUUAGGCAAUAAUGCGGAAUAUGAAGGUGAGCCUAACAAUUGCUAGUAAGUACUAAGUACAAGGCAAGUAACACAAGCAUAUAAGUGAGCAAGCACAAUAUGAUGUAAGUAAGUGCAAACAAGACAAGUAACCACAAGUAGAGAGUUAGGGUUAGGAAUAACCGCAACUCCGGGAGACAAGGAUGUAUGCCGAUGUUCACUUCCUUGGAGGGAAGCUAGUCACCGUUAGAGAGGUGGAUGUUACCACGAAGGCACACCAACGCCACGAAGGCUCACCCUAUUCUCCCUUUGAGACAACACCACGAAGGCGUUUCUCAACCACUAGUGGUAGACCUUGGGGUGGUCUCCAAACCCUCACAAACUUAUCCGAGGGUAAUCACAAAGGUCGAUUCCUCUCCGAAAGACUCCUACCGCCUAGGAGUCUCCAACCUCCAAGAGUAACAAGAUCGAUGGGGAUUUGCUCAAGACUUGCUCAAAUCACGAAUUCCUUGGGUGCAAAGAAGGAGGAGAAGUGGAUCUAUCACUUGAUCGGACAACUUCUUCCCAAAGCUCUCAAAUCCCUUGGGGAUCUAAGAUUUGGUGUGGAGGAAUGAGAGAGAGUGUGAGAAGUGUUCUAGGGUUUUUUCAAAGUGAAUGGUCAACCUCUCUAGUGGGAAAGAGAGGCAAUAUAUAUAGUGUGAGCUCAAAUAUGGCCGUUGUACUGCAAGUGAACGGGCAGGCCGGACAUCCGGGCUGGAGGCCGGACAUCCGACCUGUCAAGCCACUUGGAGAACAGGGCAGAACAGAGUAGGAACCAAAGGAGCCGGACAUCCGGGGGUCAAGCCCGGACAUCCGGCGUAAAAGGGAAGCCCGGACAUCCGGAAGAUAGUCGGACAUCCGGAGAGCCCACGAACGUUUACAGAACCACAUCAGUUUGUCGGGCAGUAAGGGGCCAAACAUCCGGAAAGGGGCCCGGACAUCCGGCAAGACAGGAAGGCCCGGAAAUCUGGCGCACACCCGGACAUCCGGCGAAAAACAGAAAACCUACUGGACAGGAAGGCCAGAUAUCCGGGGCAAGAGCCGGACAUCCGGGGGAGGACAGCGGCCCAGACAUCCGGCACUCCCAGAGACAGAAUGGAUCAAAGACCUAUAGAAAAGAGUAUUUUGACUCGAGCAAGUCUGUUACGAACCCAAUCGAUCCCCUCUUAAUAGUGGGGGAUCCUAUACUCAAGGAAACAAAAUGAAACAUCAUUUUAACACUUCAACCUUGAGAGAACCCACAUCGUAUGCUCUUGAUCCACACACAAUUUUGACGAACCGGGGACCAACACCUGAGAUUCACUUGGCAUCCAUUGUUAGUCCCCUACAUGUAGAUUGUCAUAACCAACAAAAACAUAAUGUAAGGGCAUGAUUGCACUUUCAAUCUCCCCCUUUUUGUUUGUUGAUGACAAUCAUACAUGUAGUAUCAUAGAUGUAAUAAAUAGUCUUAGCAAUGAUAAUCAUGGGAGCAAAAUGGAUACAGAAUAUGUUUAGUUACAAUUUGCUUUUAGCUCCCCCUCAUUGUGUGCAUGCGAUGAAUAUAUUAGGAUGACCAACACAACAGUUUCGAUGACAGUUAUAUUAUGAGUUUAUGCGUUUUGAUGUACCGAAGGAGUUCGGAGUCCCGGAUGAGAUCAGGACAUGAUGAGGAGUCUCAAAAUGGUCGAGACGUAAAGAUCGAUAUAUUGUACGACUAUAUUCGGACAUCGGAAGGGUUCCGAGUGACUCGGGUAUUUUCGAGGGUACCGGGAAGUUACGGGAAUACGAGGAAGAAGUAAUGGGCCUCAUGGGCCAAGUGGUGGAAGAGAGGAGGCAGGGCGCGCGGCCCCCCUAGCCCAAACCGAAUUGGACUAGGGGGCCGCCCCCCCCCUUUCCUCCUUUUCCUCCCUCUCCUUCCUUCUCCUUCUCCUUCCCUUCCUUCCCCUCUCCUACUUGGACUUGGAAAGAGGGGGGAAUCCUACUUGGAGAAGGAUUGCCCCCCUUGGGCGCGCCUCCUCCCCUUGGCCGACCCUCUCCUCCUCCCCCCUUUAUAUACAGAGGAGGGGGGCACCUCUAGACACAACAACAAUUGAUCAUUGAUCUCUUAGCCGUGUGCGGUGCCCCCUCCACCAAAGUCCUCGAUAAUAUUGUAGCGGUGCUUAGGCGAAGCCCUGCGACGGUAGAACAUCAAGAUCGUCACCACGCCGUCGUGCUGACGGAACUCUUCCCCGACACUCUGCUGGAUCGGGGUCCGGGGAUCGUCAUCGAGCUGAACGUGUGCUAGAACUCGGAGGUGCCGUAGUUUCGGUGCUUGAUCGGUCGGGCCGUGAAGACGUACGACUACAUCAACCGCGUUGUUCUAACGCUUCCGCUUUUGGUCUACGAGGGUACGUAGACAACACUCUCCCCUCUCGUUGCUAUGCAUCACCAUGAUCUUGCGUGUGCGUAGGAAUUUUUUUGAAAUUACUACGUUCCCCAACAGUGGCAUCCAAGCCAGGUUUUAUGCGUAGAUGUCAUACGCACGAGUAGAACACAAGUGAGUUGUGGGUGAUAUAAGUCAUACUGCUUACCAACAUGUCAUACUUUGGUUCAGCGGCAUUGUGAGAUGAAGCGGCCCGAACCGGCAUUACGCGUACGCUUACGCGAGACUGGUUUCACCGCUACGAGCACUCGUUGCUUAAAGGUGACCGGCGGGUGUCUGUCUCUCUCACUUUAGUUGAACCGAGUGUGGCUACGCCCGGUCCUUGCGAAGGUUAAAACAACACCAACGUGACAAACUAUCGUUGUGGUUUUGAUGCGUAGGAAAGAACGGUUCUUGCUAAGCCCGUAGCAGCCACGUAAAAUUUGCAACAACAAAGUAGAGGACAUCUAACUUGUUUUUGCAGGGCAUGUUGUGAUAUGAUAUGGUCAAGACGUGAUGCUAUAUUUUAUUGUAUGAGAUGAUCAUGUUUUGUAACCGAGUUAUCGGCAACUGGCAGGAGCCAUAUGGUUGUCGCUUUAUUGUAUGAAAUGCAAACGCCCUGUAAUUGCUUUACUUUAUCACUAAGCGGUAGUGAUAGUCAUAGAAGCAAUUGAUGGCGUAACGACAACGAUGCUACGAUGGAGAUCAAGGUGUCGCGCUGGUGAUGAUGGUGAUCGCGCCGGUGCUUCGGAGAUGGAGAUCACAAGCACAAGAUGAUGAUGGCCAUAUCAUAUCACUUAUAUUGAUUGCAUGUGAUGUUUAUCAUUUAUGCAUCUUAUCUUGCUUUGAUUGAUGGUAGCAUUUUAAGAUGAUCUCUCACUAAUUAUCAAGAAGUGUUCUGCCUGAGUAUGCACCGUUGUGAAAGUUCUUCGUGCUGAGACACCAUGUGAUGAUCGGGUGUGAUAGGCUCUACGUUCAAAUACAACGGGUGCAAAACAGUUGCACACGCGGAAUAAUCAGGUUAAACUUGACGAGCCUAGCAUAUACGGAUAUGGCCUCGGAACACGGAGACCGAAAGGUCGAACGUGAAUCAUAUAGUAGAUAUGAUCAACAUAGUGAUGUUCACCAUUGAAAACUAAUCCAUCUCACGUGAUGAUCGGACAUGGUUUAGUUGAUUUGGAUCACGUGAUCACUUAGAUGACUAGAGAGAUGUCUAUCUAAGUGGGAGUUCUUAAGUAAUAUGAUUAAUUGAACUUUAAUUUAUCAUGAACUUAGUCCUGAUAGUAUUUUGCAAAUUAUGUUGUAGAUCAAUAGCUCGCGAUGUUGCUUUCAUAUGUUUAUUUUGAUAUGUUCCUAGAGAAAAAUUGUGUUGAAAGAUGUUAGUAGCAAUGAUGCGGAUUGGAUCCGUGAUCUGAGGUUUAUCCUCAUUGCUGCACAGAAGAAUUAUGUCCUUAAUGCACCGCUAGGUGAUAGACCUAUUGCAGGAGCAGAUGCAGACGUUAUGAACAUUUGGCUAGCUCAAUAUGAUGACUACUUGAUAGUUUAGUGCACCAUGCUUAACGGCUUAGAAUCGGGACUUCAAAGACGUUUUGAACGUCAUGGACCAUAUGAGAUGUUCCAGGAGUUGAAGUUAAUAUUUCAAGCAAAUACCCGAAUUGAGAGAUAUGAAGUCUCCAACAAGUUCUAUAGCUAAAAGAUGGAGGAGAAUUGCUCAACUAGUGAGCAUGUGCUCAGAUUGUCUGGGUACUACAAUCGCUUGAAUCAAGUGGGAGUUAAUCUUCCAGAUAAGAUAGUGAUUGACAGAGUUCUCUAGUCACCAUCACCAAGUUACUAGAACUUCGUGAUGAACUAUAGUAUGCAAGGGAUGACGAAAAUGAUUCCCGAGCUCUUCGUGAUGCUGAAAUCAACGAAGGUAGAAAUCAAGAAAGAGCAUCAAGUGUUGAUGAUUGACAAGACCACUAAUUUCAAGAAUAGGGCAAAGGGAAAGAAAGGGAACUUCAUAUAGAAUGGCAAGCAAGUUGUCACUCCCGUGAAGAAGCCCAAAGCUGGACCAAAGCCUGAAACUGAGUGCUUCUACUGCAAAGGAAAUGGUCACUGGAAGCGGAAAUGCUCUGAAUAUUUGGUAGAUAAGAAGGAUGGCAAAGUGAACAAGGGUAUAUUUGAUAUACAGGUUAUUGAUGUGUACCUUACUAGUGUUUAUAGUAGCCCCUGAGUAUUUGAUACUUGCUCGGUUGCUAAUAAUUAGUAACUCGAAAUAGGAGUUAAAUAAACAGAGACUAGUUGAGGGUGAAGUGACGAUGAGUGUUGGAAGUAGUUCCAAGAUUGAUAUGAUCAUCAUCGCACACUCCCUAUACUUUCGGGAUUAGUGUUAAACCUAAAUAAAUGUUAUUUGGCGUUUGCGUUGAGCGUGAAUAUGAUUUGAUCAUGUUUAUUGCAAUACGGUUAUUCAUUUAAAGUCAGAGAAUAAUUGUUGUUCUGUUUACAUGAAUAAAACCUUCAAUGGUCAUACACCCAAUAAAAAUAGUUUGUUGGAUCUCGAUCGUAGUGAUACACAUAUUCAUAAUAUUGAUGCCAAAAGAUGCAAAAGUUAAUAAUGAUAGUGCAACUUAUUUGUGGCACUGCCGUUUGGGUCAUAUCGGUGGAAAGCGCAUGAAGAAACUCCAUAAAGAUGGAUUUUCGGAAUCACUUGGUUAUGAAUCAUUUGAUGCUUGCGAACCGUACCUUUUGGGCAAGAUUACUAAAACUCCGUUCUCCGGAACAAUGGAACGAGCUACUGACUUGUUGGAAAUAAUACAUACCGACGUAUGCAGUCCAAUGAGUGUUGAUACUCGUGGCGGGUAUCGUUAUUUUCUGAUCUUCACAGAUGAUUUGAGCAGAUAUGAGUAUAUCUACUUAAUGAAGCACAAGUCUGAAACAUUUGAAAAGUUCAAAGAAUUUCAGAAUGAAGUGGAGAAUCAUCGUAACAAGAAAAUAAAAGUUUCUACGAUCUGAUCGUGGAGAAGAAUAUUUGAGUUACGAGUUUGGCCUUCAUUUUAAACAAUGUGGAAUAGUUUCACACCUCACGCCACAUGGAACACCACAGCGUAAUGGUGUGUCCGAACGUCGUAACCGCACUUUAUUGGAUAUGGUGCGAUCUACGAUGUAUCUUAUCGAUUUACCACUAUCGUUUUUGGGGUUAUGCAUUAGAAAUAGCUGCAUUCACUUUAAAUAGGGCACCAUCUAAAUUCGUUGAGACGACACCAUAUGAACUAUGGUUUAGGAGUAAACCUAAGCUGUUGUUUCUUAAAGUUUGGAGUUACGAUGCUUAUGUGAAAAAGGUUUCAACCAGAUAAGCUCGAACCCAAAUCGGAGAAAUGUGUCUUCAUAGGAUACCCAAAAGGGACUAUUGGGUACACCUUCUAUCAUAGAUAUGAGGGCAAGACUUUUGUUGCUAAAUUCGGAUCCUUUCUAGAGAAGGAGUUUCUCUCGAAAGAAGUGAGUGGGAGGAAAGUAGAACUUGAUGAGGCAACUGUACCUGCUCCCUUAUUGGAAAGUAGUUCAUCACAAGAACUGGUUCCUGUGACAACUACACCAAUCAGUGAGGAAGCUAAUGAUAUUGAUCAUGAAACUUCAGAUCAAGUUACUACCGAACCUCGUAGGUCAACCAGAGUAAGAUCCGCACCAGAGUGGUAUGGUAAUCCUACUCUGGAAGUCAUGUUACUUGACCAUGGCGAACCUACGAACCAUGAGGAAGCGAUGAUGAGCCCAGAUUCCGCGAAAUGGCUUGAAGGCCAUGAAAUCUGAGAUGGGAUCCAUAUAUGAGAACAAAGUGUGGACUUUGAUUGACUUGCCCGAUGAUCGGCAAGCCAUAGAAAAUAAAUGAAUCUUCAGGAGGAAGACGGACAUUGAUAAUAGUGUUAUUAUCUACAAAGCUAGAUUUGUCGAAAAAGGUUUUUGACAAAGUUCAAGAUGUUGACUACGAUGAGUUUUUUUCUCACUCGUAUCGAUGCUUAAAGUUUGUCCGAAUCAUGUUAGCAAUUGCCACAUUUUAUGAAAUCUGGCAAAAGGAUGUCAAAACUGCAUUCUUUAAUGGAUUUAGAGUUGUAUAUGAUGCAACCAGAAGGUUUUGUCAAUCCUAAAGGUGCUAACAAAUUGUGCAAGCUCCGGCAAUCCAUCUAUGGACUGGUGCAAGCAUCUCGGAGUUGGAAUAUAUGCUUUGAUGAGUUGAUCAAAGCAUAUAGUUUUAUACAGACUUGCGGUGAAGCCUGUAUUUACAAUAAAGUGAGUGGGAGCACUACCGCCUUUCUGAUAAAUAUAUGUGAGUAACAUAUUGUUGAUCAGAAAUGAUGUAGAAUUUUUCUGGAAAGCAUAAAGGAGUAUUUGAAAGGAGUUCUUUAAAAGAAAGACCUCAGUAAAGCUACUUACAUAUUGAGCAUCAAGAUCUAUUGAGAUAGAUCAAGACGCUUGAUAAGUUUUUCAAUAAGUACAUACCUUGUCAAGUUUUUGAAGUAGUUCAAAAUGGAACAGUCAAAGAAAGAGUUCUUGCCUGUGUUGCAAUGGUAUGAAAUUGAGUAAGACUCAAAUCCCGAGCACGGCAAAAAAUAGAAAAGAGAAUGAAAGUCAUUCCCUAUGCCUCAAUCAUAGGUUCUAUAAAGUAUGCUAUGCUAUGUACCAGACCUAUUGUAUACCUUGCUGUGUAUUUGGCAAGGGAGUACAAUAGUGAUCUAGGAGUAGAUCACUGGACAUUGGUCAAGAAUAUCCUUAGUAAGGACUAAGAAAAUAUUUCUCGAUUAUGGAGGUGAUAAAAGAGCCCGUCGUAAAGAGUUACAUCGGUGCAAGCUUUUACACCGAUCCAGAUGACUCUAAGUCUCAAUCUGGAAGUGGGAGCAAUUAGCUAGAGUAGCUCCGUGCAGAGCAUUGUAGACAUAGAAUAUUUGCAAAAUACAUAUGGCUCUCAAUGUGACAGACCCGUUGACUAAGCUUCUCUCACGAGCAAAACAUGAUCACACCUCAGUACUCUUUGGGUGUUAAUCACAUAGCAAUGUGAACUAGAUUAUUGACUCUAGUAAACCCGUUGGGUGUUGGUCACAUGACGAUGUGAACUAUGGGUGUUAAUCAUAUACAGAUAUGAAUAUUGGUGUUAAAUCACAUGGCGAUGUGAACUAGAUUAUUGACUCUAGUGCAAGUGGGAGACUGAAGGAAAUAUGCCCUAGAGGCAAUAAAGUUAUUAUUUAUUUCCUUAUUUCAUGAUAAAUGUUUAUUAUUCAUGCUAGAAUUGUAUUAACCGGAAACAUAAUACAUGUGUGAAUACAUAGAUAAACUUAAUGUCACUAGUAUGCCUCUACUUGACUAGCUCAUUAAUCAAAGAUGGUUAUGUUUCCUAACCAUAGACAUGAGUUGUCAUUUGAUUAACGGGAUCACAUCAUUAGUAGAAUGAUGUGAUUGACAUGACCCAUUUCGUUAGCUUAGCACUUGAUCGUUUAGUAUGUUGCUAUUGCUUUCUUCAUGACUUAUACAUGUUCCUACAACUAUGAGAUUAUGCAACUCCCGUUUACCGAAGGAACACUUUGUGUGCUACCAAACGUCACAACGUAACUGGGUGAUUAUAAAGGAGCUCUACAGGUGUCUCCGAAGGUACAUGUUGGGUUGGCGUAUUUCGAGAUUAGGAUUUGUCACUCCGAUUGUCAGAGAGGUAUCUCUGGGCCCUCUCGGUAAUGCACAUCACUAUAAGCCUUGCAAGCAAUGUAACUAAUGAGUUAGUUACGAAAUGAUGCAUUACAUAACGAGUAAAGAGACUUGCCGGUAACGAGAUUGAACUAGGUAUUGAGAUACCGACGAUCGAAUCUCGGGCAAGUAACAUACCGAUGACAAAGGGAACAACGUAUGUUGUUAUGCGGUUUGACCGAUAAAGAUCUUCGUAGAAUAUGGAGGAGCCAAUAUGAGCAUCCAGGUUCCGCUAUUGGUUAUUGACCGGAAACGUGUCUCGGUCAUGUCUACAUAGUUCUCGAACCCGUAGGGUCCGCACGCUUAACGUUUCGAUGACAGUUAUAUUAUGAAUUUAUGAGUUAUGAUGUACCGAAGGAGUUCGGAGUCCCAGAUGAUAUCGGGGACAUGACGAGGAGUCUCUAAAUGGUCGAGACGUAAAGAUCAAUAUAUUGGACGACUAUAUUCGGACAUCGGAAGGGUUUCAAGUGAUUCGGGUAUUUUCGGGGGUACCGGGGAGUUACGGGAAUACGAGGAAGAAGCAAUGGGCCUCAUGGGCCAAGUGGUGGAAGAGAGGAGGCAGGGCGCGCGGCCCCCCUAGCCCAAACCGAAUUGGACUAGGGGGCCGGCCCCCCUUUCCUCCUUUUCCUCCCUCUCCUUCCUUCUCCUUCUCCUUCCCUUCCUUCCCCUCUCCUACUUGGACUAGGAAAGAGGGGGGAAAUCCUACUUGGAGUAGGAUUGCCCCCCUUGGGCGCGCCUCCUCCCCUUGGUCGGCCCUCUCCUCCUUCCCCCCUCCCUUUAUAUACGGAGGAGGGGGGCACCUCUAGACACAACAACAAUUGAUCAUUGAUCUCUUAGCCGUGCGCGGUGCCCCCCUCCACCAAAGUCCUCGAUAAUAUUGUAGCGGUGCUUAGGCGAAGCCCUGCGACGGUACAACAUCAAGAUCGUCACCACGCCGUCGUGCUGACGGAACUCUUCCCCGACACUCUGUGUUGGAAAUAUGCCCUAGAGGCAAUAAUAAAUUGAUUAUUAUUAUAUUUUCUUGUUCAUGAUAAUCGUUUAUUAUCCAUGCUAGAAUUGUAUUGAUAGGAAACUCAGAUACAUGUGUGGAUACAUAGACAACACCAUGUCCCUAGUAAGCCUCUAGUUGACUAGCUCGUUAAUCAAUAGAUGGUUACGGUUUCCUGACCAUGGACAUUGGAUGUCGUUGAUAACGGGAUCACAUCAUUAGGAGAAUGAUGUGAUGGACAAGACCCAAUCCUAAGCCUAGCACAAGAUCAUGUAGUUCGUAUGCUAAAGCUUUUCUAAUGUCAAGUAUCAUUUCCUUAGACCAUGAGAUUGUGCAACUCCCGGAUACCGUAGGAGUGCUUUGGGUGUGCCAAACGUCACAACGUAACUGGGUGGCUAUAAAGGUACACUACGGGUAUCUCUGAAAGUGUCUGUUGGGUUGGCACGAAUCGAGAUUGGGAUUUUAUCACUCCGUGUAAACGGAGAGGUAUCUCUGGGCCCACUCGGUAGGACAUCAUCAUAAUGUGCACAAUGUGACCAAGGGGUUGAUCACGGGAUGAUGUGUUACGGAACGAGUAAAGAGACUUGCCGGUAACGAGAUUGAACAAGGUAUCGGUAUACCGACGAUCGAAUCUCGGGCAAGUACCAUACCGCUAGACAAAGGGAAUUGUAUACGGGAUUGAUUGAGUCCUUGACAUCGUGGUUCAUCCGAUGAGAUCAUCGUGGAACAUGUGGGAGCCAACAUGGGUAUCCAGAUCCCGCUGUUGGUUAUUGACCGGAGAACAUCUCGGUCAUGACUACAUGUCUCCCGAACCCGUAGGGUCUACACACUUAAGGUUCGAUGACGCUAGGGUUAUAAAGGAAGUUUGUAUGUGGUUACCGAAUGUUGCCCGGAGUCCCGGAUGAGAUCCCGGACGUCACGAGGAGUUCCGGAAUGGUCCGGAGGUAAAGAUUUAUAUAUAGGAAGUCCUGUUUCGGCCAUCGGGACAAGUUUCGGGGUCAUCGGUAUUGUACCGGGACCACCGGAAGGGUCCCGGGGGCCCACCGGGUGGGGCCACCUGCCCCGGGGGGCCACAUGGGCUGUAGGGGGUGCGCCUUGGCCUACAUGGGCCAAGGGCACCAGCCCCUAGAGGCCCAUGCGCCAAGAUAUAGGAAAAAGGGGAGAGUCCUAAAGGGGGAAGGCACCUCCGAGGUGCCUUGGGGAGGAUGGACUCCUCCCCCCCCUCUUAGCCGCACCCCUUUCUUGGAGGAAGGGGCAAGGCUGCGCCUCCCCCCUCUCCCCUGCCCCUAUAUAUAGUGGAGGGGAGGGAGGGCAUCCAUACCUGAGCCCUUGGCGCCUCCCUCCCUCCCGUGACACCUCCUCCUCUCCCGUAGAUGCUUGGCGAAGCCCUGCAGGAUUGCCACGCUCCUCCAUCACCACCACGCCGUUGUGCUGCUGCUAGAUGGAGUCUUCCUCAACCUCUCCCACUCUCCUUGCUGGAUCAAGGCAUGGGAGACGUCACCGGGCUGUAUGUGUGUUGAACGCGGAGGUGCCGUCCAUUCGGCACUAGGAUCUCCGGUGAUUUGGAUCACGACGAGUACGACUCCUUCAACCCCGUUCUCUUGAACGCUUCCGCUUAGCGAUCUACAAGGGUAUGUAGAUGCACUCUCCUUCCCCUCGUUGCUAGUCUCUCCAUAGAUAGAUCUUGGUGUUACGUAGGAAAAUUUUGAAUUUCUGCUACGUUCCCCAACAGUGGCAUCAUGAGCUAGGUCUAUUGCGUAGAUUCUUUGCACGAGUAGAACACAAAGUAGUUGUGGGCGUCGAUAUUGUUCAAUAUGCUUGCCGUUACUAGUCUUAUCUUGAUUCGGCGGCAUCGUGGGAUGAAGCGGCCCGGACCAACCUUACACGUACGCUUACGUGAGACCGGUUCCACCGAAAAACAUGCACUAGUUGCAUAAGGUGGCUGGCGGGUGUCUGUCUCUCCCACUUUAGUCGGAUCGGAUUCGAUGAAAAGGGUCCUUAUGAAGGGUAAAUAGCAAUUGGCAUAUCACGUUGUGGUUCAUGCGUAGGUAAGAAACGUUCUUGCUAGAAACCCAUAGCAGCCACGUAAAACAUGCAAACAACAAUUAGAGGACGUCUAACUUGUUUUUGCAGGGUAUGCUAUGUGAUGUGAUAUGGCCAAAAAGGAUGUGAUGAAUGAUAUAUGUGAUGUAUGAGAUUGAUCAUGUUCUUGUAAUAGGAAUCACGACUUGCAUGUCGAUGAGUAUGACAACCGGCAGGAGCCAUAGGAGUUGUCUUUAUUUAUUUGUGACCUGCGUGUCAACUUAAACGUCAUGUAAUUACUUUACUUUAUUGCUAACCGUUAGCCAUAGUAGUAGAAGUAAUAGUUGGCGAGGCAACUUCAUGAAGACACGAUGAUGGAGAUCAUGAUGAUGGAGAUCAUGGUGUCAUGCCGGUGACGAUGAUGAUCAUGGAGCCCCGAAGAUGGAGAUCAAAAGGAGCAAAGAGAUGAUGGCCAUAUCAUGUCACUAUUUGAUUGCAUGUGAUGUUUAUCAUGUUUAUACAUCUUAUUUGCUUAGAACGAUGGUAGUAAAUAAGAUGAUCCCUUACAACAAUUUCAAGAAGUGUUCUCCCCUAACUGUGCACCGUUGCGACAGUUCGUGUUUCGAAGCACCACGUGAUGAUCGGGUGUUAGAUUCUAACGUUCACAUACAACGGGUGUAAGACAGAUUUACACACGCGAAACACUUAGGGUUAACUUGACGAGCCUAGCAUGUACAGACAUGGCCUCGGAACACGGAGACCGAAAGGUCGAACAUGAGUCGUAUAGAAGAUACGAUCAACAUGAAGAUGUUCACCGAUGAUGACUAGUCCGUCUCACGUGAUGAUCGGACACGGCCUAGUUUGACUCGGAUCAUGUAAUCACUUAGAUGACUAGAGGGAUGUCUAUCUGAGUGGGAGUUCAUAAGAUGAACUUAAUUAUCCUGAACAUAAUCAAAAGGUUUUUGCAAAUUAUGUCGUAGCUCACGCUAUAGUUCUACUGUUUAGAUAUGUUCCUAGAGAAAAAUUAGUUGAAAGUUGAUAGUAGCAAUUAUGCGGACUAGGUCCGUAAACUGAGGAUUGUCCUCAUUGCUUCAUAGAAGGCUUAUGUCCUUAAUGCACCGCUCAGUGUGCUGAACCUCGAACGUUGUCUGUGGUUGUUGCGAACAUCUGACAUACACGUUUUGAUAACUACGUGAUAGUUCAGUUAAACGGUUUAGAGUUGAGGCACCAAAGACGUUUUUGAAACAUCGCGAAACAUAUGAGAUGUUUUGAGGGCUGAAAUUGGGAUUUCAGGCUCGUGCCCAUGUCAAGAGGUAUAAGACCUCCGAUGACUUUCUUAACCUGCAAACUAAGGAGAAAAGCUCAAUUGUUGAGCUUAUGCUCAGAUUGUCUGAGUACAACAAUCAUUUGAAUCGAGUGGGAGUUGAUCUUCUAGAUAAGACAGUGAUGGUUCUCCAAAGUCAUUGCCACCAAGCUGUUAGAGCUUCGUGAUGAACUAUAACAUAUCAGGGAUAGAUAUGAUGAUCCUUGAGGUAUUCGCGAUGUUUGACACCGCGAAAGUAGAAAUCAAGAAGGAGCAUCAAUUGUUGAUGGUUGGUGAAACCACUAGUUUCAAGAAGGGCAAGGGCAAGAAGGGAUACUUCAUGAAACGGCAAAUCAGCUGCUGCUCUAGUGAAGAAACCCAAGGUAAAACCCAAACCCGAGACUAAGUGCUUCUGUAAUAAGGGGAACAACCACUAGAGCAGAAUUACCCUAGAUACUUGGUAGAUAAGAAGGCUGGCAAGGUCGAUAGAAGUAUAUUGGAUAUACAUUGUGUUAAUGUGUACUUUGCUAGUAGCACCAGGGUAUUAGAUACCGGUUCGGUUGCUAAGUGUUAGUAACUCGAAACAAAAGGCUACGGAAUAAACGGAGACUAGCUAAAGGUGAGCUGACGAUAUGUGUUGGAAGUUUUUCCAAGCUUGAUAUGAUCAAGCAUCGCACGCUCCCUCUACCAAAGAGAUUAGGUGUUAAACCUAAAUAAUUGUUAUUUGGUGUUUGCGUUGAGCAUAGACAUGAUUGGAUUAUGUCUAUCACAAUACGGUUAUUCAUUUAAGGAGAAUAAUGGUUACUCUGUUUAUUUGAAUAAUACCUUCAAUGGUCUUACACCUAAAAUGAAUGGUUUAUUAAAUCUCGAUCGUAGUGAUACACAUGUUCAUGCCAAAAGAUAGUAAUGAUAGUACCACCUACUUGUGGCACUGCCACGUAAGUCAUAUCGGUAUAAAACGCAUGAAGAAGCUCCAUAUUGAUGGAUCUUUGGGCUCACUCGUUUUUGAAAAGUUUGAGACAUGCGAACCAUGUCUAUUGGUGUAUAUGCAUGAAGAAACUCCAUGCAAAUGGACCGUUUUGACUCACUUGAUUUUGAAUCACUUGGGACAUGCAAAUCAUACCACAUGGGCAAGAUGACUGAAAAGCCUCGUUUUCAGUAAGAUGGAACAAGAUAGCAACUUGUUGGAAGUAACACAUUUUGAUGUGUGCAGUCCAAUGAGUGCUGAGGCAUGCAGUGAAUAUCGUUAUGUUCUUACUUCAUAGAUGAUUUGAGUAGAUGUUGAGUAUAUUUACUUGAUGAAUCACGAGUCUGAAUUAUUGAAAGGUUCAAGUAAUUUCAGUGAAGUAGAAGAUCAUUGUGACAAGAGGAUAAAAUGUCUAUGAUACGAUCAUAGAGAUGAAUAUCUGAGUUACGAGUUUUGGCACACAAUUAAGACAUUGUGGAAAUUGUUUCGCAAUUAAUACCGCCUGGAACACCAUAGUGUGAUGGUGUGUCCGAACAUCAUAGUUGCACCCUAUUGGAUAUGGUGCGUACCAUGAUGUCUCUUAUCGAAUUACCACUAUCGUUCAUGGGUUAGGCAUUAGAGACAACCACAUUCACUUUAAAUAGGGCACCACGUAAUUCCGUUGAGAUGACACCGUAUGAAUUAUGGUUUAGAGAAACCUAAGUUGUCGUUUCUUAAAGGUUUGGGGCUGCGACGCUUAUGUGGAAAAGUUUCAGGAUUGAUAAGCUCGAACCCAAAGCGGAUAAAAUGCAUCUUCAUAGGACACCCAAAACAGUUGGGUAUACCUCCUGUCUCAGAUCCGAAAGCAAUAUGAAUUGUUUCUAGAAUCGGGUCCUUUCUCGAGGAAAGGUUUCUCUCAAAAAGUUGAGUGGGAGGAUGGUGGAGACUUGAUGAGGUUAUUGAACCGUCACUUCAACAAGUGUGUAGCAGGGCACAGGAAGUUGUUCCUGUGGCACGUACACCAACUGAAGUGGAAGCUUAUGAUAGUGAUCAUGAAACUUCGGAUCGAGUCACUACCAAACCUCGUGGGAUGACAAGGAUGCGUACUACUUCAGAGUGGUACAAAAUCCUGUCUUGGAAGUCAUGUUGCUAGACAACAAUGAACCUACGAGCUAUGGAGAAGCGAUGGUGGGCCCGGAUUCCGAUAAAUGGCUCAAGGCCAUAAAACCCGAGAGAGGAUCCAUGUAUGAAAACAAAGUGUAGACUUCGGAAGAACUACUUGAUGGUCGUAAGGCUGUUAGGUACAUAUGGAUUUUGAAAGGAAGACAGACAAUGAUGGUAAGUGUCACCAUUGAGAAAACUCGACUUGUCGUUAAGAUGUUUUUCGACAAGUUCAAGGAGUUGACUACGAUGAGACUUUCUCACUCGUAGCGAUGCUAAGAGUCUAUUGGAAUUAUAUUAGCAAUUACUGCAUUAUUUAUGAAAUCUUGCAGAUAGGAUGUCAAAACAUUGUUUCCUCGACGAUUCUUGAGGAAAGGUUGUAUGUGAUACAACCGGAAGGUUUUGUCUAUCCUGAAAUAUGCUAAUAAGUAUGCAAAGCUCCAGCAAUCCUUCUAAGGACUGGAGUGAGCAUCUCGGAGUUGGAAUGUAUGCUUUGAUGAUGAUCAAAGAUUUUGGGUGUAUACAAAGUUUAUGAGAAACUUGUAUUUCCAAAGAAGUGAGUGGGAGCACUAUAGAAUUUCUGAUAAAUAUAUGUUGACAUAUUGUUGAUCAGAAAUGACGUAGAAUUUCUGGAAAGUAUAUAGGGUUAUUUGUAAAGUGUUUUUCAAUGGAAAGCCUGGAUUAAGCUACUUGAACAUUGAGCAUCAAGAUCUAUAAGGAUAGAUCAAAACGCUUAAUGGUACUUUCAAAUGAGCACAUACCUUGACAUGAUCUUGAAGGUGUUCAAGAUGGAUCAGUCAAAGAAGGAGUUCUUGCCUGAGUUGUAAGGUAUGAAGUUAAGACUUAAAGCUCGACCACGGCAGAAUAGAGAGAAAGGACGAAGGUCGUCCCCUAUGCUUAAGACAUAGGCUCUACAGUAUGCUAUGCUGUGUACCGCACCUGAAGUGUGCCUUGCCAUGAGUCAGUCAAGGGGUACAAAAGUGAUCCAAGAAUGGAUCACAGGACAGCGGUCAAAGUUAUCCUUAGUAACUAGUGGACUAAGGAAUUUUCUCGAUUAUGGAGGUGGUAAAAGAGUUCGUCGUAAAGGGUUACGCCGAUGCAAGCUUCGACACUAAUCCAGAUUAUUCUGAGUAGUAAACUGGAUUCGUACAGUAGAAUAGAUAUUUGGAAUAGCUCCAAAUAGAGCAUGGUAGCUACAUCUAGGAGAUGACAUAGAGAUUUGUAAAGAACACACGGAUCUGAAAGGUUCAGACCCGUUGACUAAAACCUCUCUCACAAGCAACAUGAUCAAACCUAAAACUCAUUGAGUAUUAAUCACAUAGUGAUGUGAACUAGACUACUGAUUCUAGUAAACUCUUGGGUGUUAGUCACAUGGCGAUGUGACCUGUGAGUGUUAAUCACAUGGUGAUGUGAACUAGAUUAUUGACUCUAGUGCAAGUGGGAGACUGUUGGAAAUAUGCCCUAGAGGCAAUAAUAAAUUGAUUAUUAUUAUAUUUCCUUGUUCAUGAUAAUCGUUUAUUAUCCAUGCUAGAAUUGUAUUGAUAGGAAACUCAGAUACAUGUGUGGAUACAUAGACAACACCAUGUCCCUAGUAAGCCUCUAGUUGACUAGCUCGUUAAUCAAUAGAUGGUUACGGUUUCCUGACCAUGGACAUUGGAUGUCGUUGAUAACGGGAUCACAUCAUUAGGAGAAUGAUGUGAUGGACAAGACCCAAUCCUAAGCCUAGCACAAGAUCAUGUAGUUCGUAUGCUAAAGCUUUUCUAAUGUCAAGUAUCAUUUCCUUAGACCAUGAGAUUGUGCAACUCCCGGAUACCGUAGGAGUGCUUUGGGUGUGCCAAACGUCACAACAUAACUGGGUGGCUAUAAAGUACACUACGGGUAUCUCUGAAAGUGUCUGUUGGGUUGGCACGAAUCGAGAUUGGGAUUUUGUCACUCCGUGUAAACGGAGAGGUAUCUCUGGGCCCACUCGGUAGGACAUCAUCAUAAUGUGCACAAUGUGACCAAGGGGUUGAUCACGGAAUGAUGUGUUACGGAACGAGUAAAGAGACUUGCCGGUAACGAGAUUGAACAAGGUAUCGGUAUACCGACGAUCGAAUCUCGGGCAAGUACCAUACCGCUAGACAAAGGGAAUUGUAUACGGGAUUGAUUGAGUCCUUGACAUCGUGGUUCAUCCGAUGAGAUCAUCGUGGAACAUGUGGGAGCCAACAUGGGUAUCCAGAUCCCGCUGUUGGUUAUUGACCGGAGAACAUCUCGGUCAUGACUACAUGUCUCCCGAACCCGUAGGGUCUACACACUUAAGGUUCGAUGACGCUAGGGUUAUAAAGGAAGUUUGUAUGUGGUUACCGAAUGUUGCUCGGAGUCCCGGAUGAGAUCCCGGACGUCACGAGGAGUUCCGGAAUGGUCCGGAGGUAAAGAUUUAUAUAUAGGAAGUCCUGUUUCGGCCAUCGGGACAAGUUUCGGGGUCAUCGGUAUUGUACCGGGACCACCGGAAGGGUCCCGGGGACCCACCGGGUGGGGCCACCUGCCCCGGGGGGCCACAUGGGCUGUAGGGGGUGCGCCUUGGCCUACAUGGGCCAAGGGCACCAGCCCCUAGAGGCCCAUGCGCCAAGAUAUAGGAAAAAGGGGAGAGUCCUAAAGGGGGAAGGCACCUCUGAGGUGCCUUGGGGAGGAUGGACUCCUCCCCCCCCCUCUUAGCCGCACCCCUUUCUUGGAGGAAGGGGCAAGGCUGCGCCUCCCCCCUCUCCCCUGCCCCUAUAUAUAGUGGAGGGGAGGGAGGGCAUCCAUACCUGAGCCCUUGGCGCCUCCCUCCCUCCCGUGACACCUCCUCCUCUCCCGUAGAUGCUUGGCGAAGCCCUGCAGGAUUGCCACGCUCCUCCAUCACCACCACGCCGUUGUGAUGCUGCUAGAUGGAGUCUUCCUCAACCUCUCCCACUCUCCUUGCUGGAUCAAGGCAUGGGAGACGUCACCGGGCUGUAUGUGUGUUGAACGCGGAGGUGCCGUCCAUUCGGCACUAGGAUCUCCGGUGAUUUGGAUCACGACGAGUACGACUCCUUCAACCCCGUUCUCUUGAACGCUUCCGCUUAGCGAUCUACAAGGGUAUGUAGAUGCACUCUCCUUCCCCUCGUUGCUAGUCUCUCCAUAGAUAGAUCUUGGUGUUACGUAGGAAAAUUUUGAAUUUCUGCUACGUUCCCCAACACUCUGCUGGAUCGGAGUCCGGGGAUUGUCAUCGAGCUGAACGUGUGCUAGAACUCGGAGGUGCCGUAGUUUCGGUGCUUGAUCGGUCGAGCCGUGAAGACGUACGACUACAUCAACCACGUUGUUCUAACGCUUCCGCUUUCGGUCUACGAGGGUACGUAGACAACACUCUCCCCUCUCGUUGCUAUGCAUCACCAUGAUCUUGCGUGUGCGUAGGAAUUUUUUUGAAAUUACUAUGUUCCCCAACACGUAGGGCGUGCCGUCCAAGCUUGUGGGCCCUCGGGACUCCAUCCGGCGUGAAUCCAACGCAAAAAAUCCUAUAAAUAUAUAAACACUCGAAAAGUAACAUAGAACUUCUCCGCCGUUGUUGCAAGCCUCUGUACCAAAGUGAUCUCAUCUGGAGCCUUUUUACGGCGCCCUGCCGAAUGGAGAAGCCAUCACGGAGGCCAUAUUCAUCAUCCUUGCUGCCUCCAUGGUGAUGCCUGAGUAGUUCAUCCUCGGGGUUGAGGGUUUGUACCAGUAGCUAUGUGUUUGAUCCUCUCUCUCUCUCUCUCCCUCUCUCUCUCUCCCUCUCCCUCUCUCUCUCUCUCUCCCUCCCUCCCUCUCUCUCUCUCUCUCUCCCUCCCUCUCUCUCUCUCUCUCUGUCUCUCUCUCUCGUGUUCUUGAUUUGACAUGAUCUUAAAGUAUCAUGAGUUUUAUCAAUAUAAUUGGAUCUUAUGGUGUUCUUCUCCGCUAUCUCUUUUGCGGUGAAUUGAGUCUUGCUCUUUAAAGUUUUAUGUUGAAUUGAAUAUUUUGGAUUUAAGAUCACUUGAUGCAUGUCUAACUUGCGGAUUCCCAUGAUGACAUUGGGGUAAUUUAAGUGACAUAAGAGUUGAUUGAUACGUAUCAUAUGAUUUUGUCGUAGUAUGAUCUCUAGAACUAUGCGUGACACUUUGGGGGUGGUUCAAUAGAUUGACUGGAAACACAAUUUUGAGGUGGUUUACUACCUACGCGAUUUCAUCCUACUUUCUUUGAUAGGAAUAGAGACUUUGGAGUGAUUCUUUGUCGCACCUUGAGGGAUCAUAACAUGAUUCAGUUAUGUUAGUAAUGUUGAGAGACUUUUUUUUACCGAAAAGCCUUCAUGACUAGCUUUAUUAACUCAAAUCAAACUUACAUCUUCUGCUAACAAAGGAAUAAUAAAGCUAGGAGGUGUAUCUGACCACAAAGUCGGUGGAUUACUCCUCAAAAACCUAGCUAUCAGAUGAGCAACCAUGUUUGACUUCCAGUUACAAUAUUUAACAAGUACCUUCCCGAAAUUCGAAAGUAGACUUUGACAUUCAUUGAGUAUUGGUUCUGCAAUCAUUGAGUAACCCUCAUUCAAAUUCAACGCCUCUACCACAGUUACAUUAUCAGUUUGGACAGUUACGUUGGCACACCCAAGCCUCUGAAUGAGCAUUAGACCUUGACGCAAUGCUUCUGAUUCGGCCGAGAUCACAUCGGCUACAUGCUCCGGGCAAGUAGUUGAUGCAGCGACAAACCCCCCCCCCCAAGUGGUCACGUACCAUAAAUCCACAUGAACCAGAGUCUUCAUCAUCAGAAAAGGAUGCAUCCAUGUUAAGGAUUUGCAAUCCAGAUGGUGGCUUCUUCAGUUCAUUCAAGCGACCAUGUACCACUCGCAAUCAUGUUGAUCGAACAAAGUUUAGAGAUAAGGCGUGUAUUGCUAGUGUUGUGCGAUCAAUUUUCUGCACCUGUUCUCCCCUCAUAAUUUCUCUUCUUUGCCACCACAAGUACCAGCACAUAGAUGCAAUUAUCUCAGGAAUUUGAAUGCAACCAGAAAAGGUGCAUUGAAAUUUAUUUUCGCACAAUGGGAACUCAAGCACCUUUGCACCCGAUCGGUCCACCGCCAGAGCUUCUUCUAUUAUUUCAUGCAAGCCCAACUCUCUCCAUAUAUUGUUCGCCCGGCCACAUGUGAAAAGCGCAUGUUUAAUAUCCUCGAUGCUACUUUAGCAUAAUGGGCAUUGAGAAAUAUUACCCACAUGGCGGUUGGCGAGUGUACAAAGGAAAGGAAUCAUAUUGUGCAAGCACCUCCACACAAAUAUCUUUAUCUUCCCCAGUAGUUUAAUAUUCCAAACUUUUUUCCAUACUGGAUGGUUAAGUGAACUAGUUUGUCCCUCUUCACUUUGCAGUUUACUUCCAAACAGAUCAUCGCAUUCAACAUGAUAUGCUGACCGUACACUAAAUGUACCACUUUUUGUAAAAUGCCAUGCGAUAUUGUCCUCCUCUUCAUGGUGUGAAAGUAGGUUCUGUAAAAUUUGUUCUGCAUCGAUUUACCAAAAGUUAUAACGCACGAGCAAUUCAUCCCAUUCACUAGAGGUGGGAUCUAUUAGUUCAUUGACAUAUGUCAAAACCCGGUUACCUUGCACCGUGAUUACUUUCUUUGUUGGCCUAUUAGGAAUCCAACAAUCUUGUUUAUAUUUACACCAUCUCCCGCUCUCCAAAUGCUCCCCUUCUUGAAAGUUAUCCCUGCAAAGAUACUCUGCCACACAAAUGAAGACCCUUUGUUCAAGGUACAGUUCAAUAUGUCAUCGGAGGGGUAAUAUCUAGCUCAAAGUACUCUUGCACAAAGGGAAUCAAAAUUCUCAAUGAACCCCCAACAUUGCUUAGCUAACAUGGAAAGGUUGAAAGAAUGGACAUCUCAGAAUCCCAUGCCACCCCUCUCUUUUAGGAUACACAUCUUCCACCAAGCGAACAAAUGCAUCCUUCGACGAUUGUCCUCAUCUCCCCACCAAUACUGCGACAUUGCAUCAGUGAUCCCCUUGCAAAUUUUCUUUGGGAAUUUGAAAACACUCGUCGCAUAUGUGGGUAUGGCUUGGGCCACCGCCUUUAUCAAAGCUUAUUUCCCUCCGAAAAGACAACAUUCUCUCCUUCCAACCAUUCGCCAUGUUCGAUUAAAGAAGUCAGUCCUUCGGUACAAAGAAGAAAUAGUAAGGCUGAGAGAUUGCACUAGUGAAAGUAUGAACCCUAGGCCUUGUUUCUAAGCAUUGAUACAUCAUUUUCACACACUUUUGUUACUUGCCACCUUGAUAUUUUUAUUUGUUCAGAUUAUAAAAAGUUAUUUCUACCAUUCAUAUUACACAUCUAUCAUCACCUCUUCGCCGAACUAGUGCACCUAUACAUAUGACAGUUGUAUUGGGUGUGUUAACGUUGGGGACACAAGAGACUACUUUUAUUUGCUUGCAGGAUUGUUCGAGAGAGAAUCAUCUUCAUCCUACACCUCCCACA